AUUGAACGCUGGCGGCAUGCUUUACACAUGCAAGUCGAACGGUAACAGGCCGCAAGGUGCUGACGAGUGGCGAACGGGUGAGUAAUGCAUCGGAACGUGCCCAGUCGUGGGGGAUAACGCAGCGAAAGCCGUGCUAAUACCGCAUACGAUCUAUGGAUGAAAGCGGGGGACCGUAAGGCCUCGCGCGACUGGAGCGGCCGAUGUCAGAUUAGGUAGUUGGUGGGGAAAAGGCUCACCAAGCCAACGAUCUGUAGCUGGUCUGAGAGGACGACCAGCCACACUGGGACUGAGACACGGCCCAGACUCCUACGGGAGGCAGCAGUGGGGAAUUUUGGACAAUGGGCGCAAGCCUGAUCCAGCAAUGCCGCGUGCAGGAAGAAGGCCUUCGGGUUGUAAACUGCUUUUGUACGGAACGAAAAGGUUUGGGUUAAUACCCUGGGCCGAUGACGGUACCGUAAGAAUAAGCACCGGCUAACUACGUGCCAGCCGCCGCGGUAA
rnacentral:rRNA from 1 species